rnacentral:pre_miRNA from 1 species
UUAUGCAUGCUGACAGAAGAGAGGGAGCACAACCCUGUAAUAGCUAAAGAGAGUCUUUGCUUUUGUUGGACUGUGCUUUCUCUUCUUCUGUCACCAACCAA